rnacentral:rRNA from 3 species
CCUCAGGUCAGGCGGGAGCACCCGCUGAGUUUAAGCAU